AUGAGAAGACAAAAUGGAAACAUAAUGAAUACUACAGAAGAAAAAAUAAUGUGUUUUAUGCUGUAAAAUCUUGCUGAAUAAAUAACAUAGUUCUACUCUAAUUAACCAUUAUACCUGAUUUCCAAUCCAGUAUUUAUUUUCAAAUCAAAGGCAAAUCCUAAAUCCUUAUGACAUCUGUGUCAAGCUACUCAACACAAAUACAUAAAGAAUCAUCAUUGUCAUCCAUGAAUAGAUCCAGGUUGUUCAUCUCCAGCAGCAAGAGAGUAACCACACAGCAUAUACAAAUAGAAAUAAAAAGAUACACAGUUCAGCAACUCAACCCUUUUGCUUCCCAUGCUUGCCUUGCUUUCUCUGCCUUCUGCGUUUAUCUGUUUCAGACUAAAUAAGUCUCUUUUGAGCAGGUUGGACAUGUGGCCAAGAAUAGAACUGAUUUAAGAGUCUGCAAAGGAGAUAUAAGUAAGUCCGGCUCCACCUUUUUACAACUUUUUUUUUUUUAGAGGACCUUUUUUACAACUUUCACUGGGUUGUCUUGAAUAUAUUGCGAAUGAUGUAUUAAACUUCAUAUAUUAAGUUGAAUCGGUUUAAUCGGAAAAUUUAAUUUGAUUCCAUUUAA